rnacentral:rRNA from 1 species
AGUCUGCAACNCGACUGCACGAAGCUGGAAUCGCUAGUAAUCGCGGAUCAGCACGCCGCGGUGAAUACGUUCCCGGGCCUUGUACACACCGCCCGUCACACCAUGGAAGUCUGCAAUGCCCGAAGCCGGUGGCCUAACCACUUAUGUGGAAGGAGCCGUCUAAGGCAGGGCAGAUGACUGGGGUGAAGUCGUAACAAGGUAAC